rnacentral:lncRNA from 1 species
AGAUGCAUGGCUAGAGCUCUUCUCAGUUACAUGGCUAGAGCUAUUCUUCUCAGAUACAUGGCUAGAGCUAUUCUUCUCAGAUACAUGGCUAGAGCUAUUCUUCUCAGAUACAUGGCCAGAGCUAUUCUUCUCAGAUACAUGGCCAGAGCUAUUCUUCUCAGAUACAUGGCUAGAGCUAUUCUUCUCAGAUGCAUGGCUAGAGCUAUUCUUCUCAGAAUUAGACCCCUUCCAAGCUUGUUUGUUGUGUACAUACUUCCCCUAAAGCAUAAAAACACUAUC